GUCUACAGCCAUGCCACCCUGAACAAGCCUGAUCCUGUCUCAUCUCAGAAGCUAAGUGGGGUCGGGCCUGGUUAGUACUUGGAUGGGAGACCACUUAGGAAAACCAGGUGCUGUAGGCA
rnacentral:rRNA from 1 species